rnacentral:rRNA from 1 species
UACGUAGGUGGCAAGCGUUGUCCGGAUUUACUGGGCGUAAAGAGCGCGCAGGCGGUCGUGCAAGUCGCGUGUGAAAGCCCCCCGGCUCAACUGGGGAGGGUCACGCGAUACUGCUCGACUCGAAGGCAGGAGAGGGAAGUGGAAUUCCCGGUGUAGUGGUGAAAUGCGUAGAUAUCGGGAGGAACACCAGUGGCGAAGGCGACUUCCUGGCCUGUUCUUGACGCUGAGGCGCGAAAGCUAGGGUAGCAAAACGGG